rnacentral:sRNA from 1 species
AACUAGCCCCGAUUGCAGUGGAAAUCCUUUUUGGAUGAAAUGGCAUAAAGCUUUGGCAUCCAAAAAGAUUGCAACGAAAAGCGGGAUUAGCU